GACGUACACAUUUUUGUUCUCCCUAAGUUAAAAUUUAUUCAAAGUACGGGAUCUAUUUUUAAGUAAAAAGAUAACACAAUUCUCGUAAAAUUAGCACAAAAUAUAGUUAUUACUAUUACCUCAUAAUCAUAAUCCAUUUAUAUCACCACAUAAUGAGCACAACAGAACAGAACGACUCGUACGUACGAAUACGGGGGAGUAGCAAUUGUAUUGUUUAAAUCAUGUUAAUUGUUCCAAACCGGUCUUGAGUUGUAGUGGUCUCUCUCUCAGCUUUAAUUUUAGCAUUCUUUGUCACGCAUCUUCUUCUGCCUACAGUUCCAGAUCAGAGGCAAAUUAUGCUCUUUGUUUGCGCCAAUGUUUCGUGAUCAUGACCUACGUUGUACAUAAUUUUCCCAUGAAAUGACAAAUAAUUCGCUCAGACAUCACCACGAAGGUUGUGAGAUUUGUAAUGGUUGGUUCUUUUUUUGCGUGACGAUAUGCAUGGAUAAAUUUAAAUCGGAGAGCAGGUGCCCAUGUACCAUGUUAGUGUAAAAGUGUAAAAGACUCGUCGUGGAUUAAGAACAUUAUCGAAACUAAAACGCAGAUCUAUGUAAUAAGUAUCUAAGCAUGUAGCCAGAUAUAAAAUGGUGGUGGUGAUGAUGAUGAUGAAAGUUUAACAAAAAACCAAUUGGCUUCGAUUUAUAUUCAUUUGUCAGUUAUUUAGUCGAUGGAAUUCGCAUUGUUGUGUAGAGGAGGAGGAGGUACAUGCAUUUUGUAGUCGAUGAUGGUCAGAUUUAUAUGUAUGAUUAGAGAUAGAUUUUAGGUACCUGUUUGCCCAUGCCUACAUUACAUACCAUACUCACUUACCUGGCAGAGUUACAUGUUGGUGAUGAUGAUGAAUGCGUGAAAUAGGUGGAUCGUGUUUGAUAGAAAACAAAAAAUUAUGGCAACUGGGAAAGAGAAAUUCAUUGUUCUUGAAAUGAAAAACCAGCCCUCACAUUAUGAGACGUAUGCAUAAACCUGCACAGCAAGACGACAUCACCAACUUCUUGGGGCUAUAUUACCAUGGUGGAGAUAGAUACGAGACCACAUCAAGAUAUGUACAUACCAUUCUUAUUUUGCAAUAAUACUGUCGUGCCGAAGGGUGAGGUAGGAUUAAGCAGAAGAAGAAGAGUUUGUGCUUUUGUGUGAUACUUUGUUCCACCCUUGAGAAAAAGAAGAAGAGUUUUGAGACAGGGGAUCAUUUGACCACGGUUGACUUGACUUUAUUACCAAAGCCGUAAAGUUUUGGAUUUUAAAGCUUUUGUUCUCCUCUUCUUCUUCUCUCUAAAACCAGUUGAGCUGGUUUCUUGGGUCGCUCUGCUGUCCAACUAAGCAAAAUGCCAAAAUAACAAUUCCCAAUGCCAGGCCAGCCAAUAGAUUAUAAAGGAAAAAUGUAUUGGACACAUAUUAGCAAGGUUACGUUAAUGGCAUGUAAAAUAAACCAGAGUUAAAAAACAAGUAGAGAAAAAAAACAUCUCUUUACUACUAUCACUACUACUCACAAUAAGUUACCUAUUUGUUAUCUGGACUAUUUUAAUGGCUAUAUUUUAUACAGAUUUGUAGCUUUUUCCACUAAAUUUCGUAAACAUGCGAAGAAGGCAGGCACAGGUUACAUGUAAACCACGGUUGAGUAAAACCACCACUUCAUAUUUAAUUAAUAUGCCAUAAUAUCAGACAUACAUUACAUCUCACUCUCGAGGUGGUUGGAUUUACCCAACAAAUUUGGUCCAAGAAUGAGCCACCACGGCGACGAGGACGACGACGACGCCUCACAACCAACCAACCACACUUAAUUUUUUGCUAAUAAACCAGCACAUCUAUCUGAACCAACAGGUAAAAAUGGUGGUCUGGUAUCACGUACAUAUUCCAUUACGUGUGUAUUACUUACUGUGGACGCUACGACGAGGGAGAGUUAGUUGGCUUGGAAAAGUGCAAAGUCAACCAACUAACUAUGCAAAAGUGCUGGAGGGAAUGAAUCUAAACGUAAUGGCUGAUCUCCACAAUAAUAAUUACACAGAUGUGUGAGACACAAAAAGGAAUCAAUUCAUCACCAUGUCUCUUUCUCUCUCUUCUCGGCCUGCCUGCGUAUUUUAUUGGUAUUUAGAUUAGAUAUCAGGUUGCUGCACAAAAGUGACUUUAACCUCUCCGCAGCAAUCAUCCAUCCUCCGGCCACAGAACAGAAACCAUGCAUACUUUGUACUUUUCUGCCAUACACAUUCGCACGACACUAUCAACCACCACUGCAGGAUGAUUAUAUAUUCACUCUGGCAUCUUCUCUGCCUGACGCUACCCAUCAUCUCAUCAUGGGAUGCAUAGCCAAGUGGUGGUGGCAAGUAUUGAAAGAGGGUUGCAAAUUAAUGUGACGAUGCUGUUGUAACAAGAGCAUGAUAAUAAUAAGAAGAAAAUAAAAUACGAGUAGAGAAGUCACGAUAAGUAGAAAGAGACGCUGCAUCUUUUUUCUUCAUUUAUGGUGCUCAUGGUGGUGGUGGUGCUGGGGUUGAGAUGUUGAUGGGCAGCCCAAUAUUUUAGAAAGUUUUAUUGUACAUGCAAUGAAUCUCAUUUUUCUUUUUCGCAUUCCUCCAACCCAAGAGGCUUGACUCAUCAAAUUAUUAUAUCUUGUUGGCUAAAUGAAAGGGCAACAAGUUGCAUUUUUUGAAGCCUGGCUCACUCGCUUGUCAUACGUGAAUGUAGCAUAAUAAUCAUAAUCAUCACAUAUUUAAGUAAGUACUUACUUACUUGUGUAUUUGUACAUAUGAGAUGUGUAUGUACAAGUGGUUGAACUUGUGUCGUACAAAAUUGGGAGCUAAAUAUAUGUAUCUUUCCCAGGCGUGAAUGUAUGUGGGAUUUGAACCCAGAGUUGACCUGGUCGUACUUGUUAAUGAGUUGUUUUGUCAGCUUUGUUUUUGACAGGGUUGGAAUGUUGGUUUCGUUCUUUUGACAAUAACACAGUGAUUUUAUGGCUUUUAAAAGAAAUUAAGAAGUAGGCACGUUUCUCUUUUAGCAGUUUUAUGUAUCUGUCCCAUGCAUACAUUAUUGCUGGACAGUAACUGCAUAUUUUCUAAAUUUCACUCACCCUCCCCUGGCUGCAAAGACAUCAUCAUCAUUAUCAAGAUUAAGCAGGAGGGGAGACGAAGGCGGAGAACAAUGCAGGUGAAACUGAAGGUUGCAGAAUAGUGGCCACAAGGUUUAGCUCGUAAACCUGUCCUAAAUUCGGUCCCUAACCUCUUUACCUUGACGAAAAUAAGAAGA